CGAAAACGAAUUCUCUCUUGAGUGGAUCCUGAGUACGACGGAGCACGUGAAAUUCCGUCGGAAUCUGGGAGGACCAUCUCCUAAGGCUAAAUACUCUCUAGUGACCGAUAGUGAACCAGUACCGUGAGGGAAAGGUGAAAAGUACCCCGGAAGGGGAGUGAAAGAGAACUUGAAACCGUGUGCUUACAAGUAGUCAGAGCCCGUUAAUGGGUGAUGGCGUGCCUUUUGUAGAAUGAACCGGCGAGUUACGAUCUGAUGCAAGGUUAAGCAGAAAAUGUGGAGCCGUAGCGAAAGCGAGUCUGAAUAGGGCGAAUGAGUAUUUGGUCGUAGACCCGAAACCAGGUGAUCUACCCUUGGUCAGGUUGAAGUUCAGGUAACACUGAAUGGAGGACCGAAC
rnacentral:rRNA from 1 species